rnacentral:lncRNA from 1 species
GGUCAACCUCUCUCACUCCAGUCGGUCCAGCUCACUCUGGUCAACUCCAGUCGCUCAGUCCCUGCUCACAGUGGCCCAAAGAUUUAUUUAUUAUUAUACAUAAGUACACUGUAGCUGUCUUCAGACACACCAGAAGAGGGCGUCAGAUCUCAUUACAGUUGGUUGUGAGCCACCAUGUGGUUGCUGGGACCUUUUGAACUCAGGACCUUCCAAAGAGCAGUCGGUGAGUGCUCUUACCCACUGAGCCAUCUCUCCAGCCCCUAAAUAAAUCUUAAAAAAGCAAAGCAAAGCAAAGCAAAACAAAACAAAACAAAACGACAGCAAAGAGAACUAUUUUAAAAAAUACUUUGCUCCUGUGGGUACCGUUCUCAGAUCCCUAUCAAUCACUGUAAUAGACAUUACAUCCCUUCAUGUAUGGGUAGCACGUGUCAGUGCUUUCUGAAUCCAGAUGAGGAUCCCCAGGGACUGGACAACGUGAGCGGCCAUGUGUGUGCUAUUGAACCAAGGAGCUAUGGGAGAGCAGCCAGCACUCUUAGCCACUGAGCCAUCUCAUCUUCCCAGCCUCCAAACUUAAAAAAAAAAAAAAAAAAAAAAAAAACCUUUCGAUGCAGAGACUGGGAUCAGAGGUUAGAGCGCUUGCUUCCCAGAGUACUCUACUGUUCAGUCCUUGGCACCACAAACAAAGAACAAAAUGUUUUCUACACGGAAGCCUGGGGAUCCUCACGAACCGUUAGCCAGUGUCAAAACCAACAACAACGGCCAUUAAUCUGCAGAAUGUGGCUUAUUCUUUUAUCUGUGGACUCAAACAGAUGCUCACAUUUAUUAUUUAGUAUUUCCCAAGCUUACAAAGUCAUACUGUUUCAAGGGUGUCUCCCCAAAGACAUUAAUAUUGAUUCAUCAGGAUCCAAAUCCAUUCUAUCUGUAAGUCUUGGCCUUAAGUGGAACCUAAAUAUUGACCCCUCGCCCUUCAGAUCCGUACCUGGCACCCAAAGUGGUCCUCUCUGCAGUAAGUUUCAGCUGACGAACAGCUCUCACCUCUAAGGAGUACAACGCAUGGCUUAUUCUGGAGCAUUUAUGAGUGACCUUGGUCAGGGGACACAGACCUCUGUUACCCCAAAUUCUGUGUUCCGGCGUGGAAACGGUCCCGUGAAAUUUUACAGUUUUACAGAACAAAGAAAGCAAUAAGCCUAAGCAAGUUUCAAACACACCGGUGGGUAUAUCACAAAAGGAGGGUACACGGAGAUGGGGCGGAUGCUAUCUGAUGACAUUCUUAGCUCUUGGGUCCGUGGAAGCUGCUGGUCUGCUAAGUUAACAGAUUGACUCCAAAGAGGCUUUUUUAUCUGUUUCAAAAUGUUAGUUCUGACGAGAGAGGAGGGCAAGGAAUUUAACCCGAGAUAAGUCAAAUUAGCCCCCUGGACCUGUAACAUUCCAGUCUCUUCAUGGUACUGAAAUUCCGAUCAACCCACCAGUCUCUGUAGACACAACCUCCUUUCAACCAGUCAAGCAAGCUUCCUUUCGGGAAUUCCUUAGGCAGAGCAUCCUCUCAGCCUUGUCCGGGGGAUGAGCAGGGUUUGGGUGGUAGAUUUGUCUCAUGACUGAGGACUUGAUAUGGGAGUUUAGACAAGGGUGUGCCUCCAAGGGGGCUGUGCUGCUGGGAUCCAGAGAACAGUCCCCAAGGGCUGUGGGCUGUCCUGCCUCAGGGGAUUGGCCUGGCUGUGCUCUCCAACCUGUCUGGUUAAGUGACCUUUUCUCUUUCUCCUAAGUGCAGUCUUCACCCACACGACGGAGGUCUGCUCACCAUCUGCAGAAGACAGAGAUAUUCUCUCUCUCUCCCCUCCUUCUCCCUCUUCAAGAUAGGGUCUCUCUGUGUAGCCUUGGCUGUCCUGGAACUCAUUCUGUAGACCAGGCUGGAUUUAAACUCUGAGAUCCCUGUCUCUGCCUCCUGAGGGCUAAGAUUAAAGGCGAGGGUGCCAUGCCCUGAAGAGAGGUUUUCUUCUUAACGGCUGUUUGUAUUGGGUCUCUAUCUCUACAAUAAAAAAUCUCACC